CAUAAAAUUAGAGGAAGAUAAGAUAGAAUUGGACCUCAAAGAACCGAUUUCGUUAAUAAUAAUGUUUGAGAAAUCUAAACUUGAAACCCCAAAUAGAAAACCUUAACGCUGAAUCGAUUCCGUUACCUGAACUCAGAAUUCGAUUCAAAACGCAGAAAACCCAGAAUUCCAAACAAACCAAAACUAGAUGUGGAUUCAAAUGGAGUAACGACAAUAAACUAAUUUCAGAUCAAAUUUAAGAAAAAGGGAAUCAACGGUGUCGUUUUUCGGUGGACCUAUCGAAACAGUAACAAAAAAACAUGACUAGGUGUUUUUCGGUAAAUAAUCCAGUGAUCUUUAGUGUUUUUUGGCCACUUUUAUCUAUAAAAACCACGAGAAAUAGAAA
rnacentral:lncRNA from 1 species